AUUGAACGCUGGCGGCAGGCCUAACACAUGCAAGUCGAACGGUAACAGGAAGACUCUUGCUUCUUUGCUGACGAGUGGCGGACGGGUGAGUAAUGUCUGUGAAACUUCCUGAUGGAUGGGGAUAACUACUGGAAACGGUAGCUAAUACCGCAUAACGUCACAAGACCAGAGAUGGUGACCUUCGGGCCUCUUGCCUUCGGAUUUGCCCAGAUGGGAUUAGCUAGUAGGUGGGGUAAAGGCUCACCUAGGCGACGAUCCCUAGCUGGUCUGAGAGGAUGACCAGCCACACUGGAACUGAGACACGGUCCAGACUCCUACGGGAGGCAGCAGUGGGGAAUAUUGCACAAUGGGCGAAAGCCUGAUGCAGCCAUGCCGCGUGUAUGAAGAAGGCCUUCGGGUUGUAAAGUACUUUAAGCGGGGAGGAAGGGAGUAAAGUUAAUACCUUGGCUUAUUGACGUUACCAGCAGAAGAAGCACCGGCUAACUUCGUG
rnacentral:rRNA from 1 species